AUUGUCAAGUCACCCCACUUCCAAUCCAUGGAUGCUAUCCACAAGGACCAAGAUGAUGAUGACCAGGAUGGAAGGAGCCCACGCCCGACCCCGACGACGGCGGUUUCAUUUGUGUGCCGGCGUCGACCACAACCUCCCUCUCUGUAAUAUGUACAUCACUAACCCAGUCAGUGGUUAUGAAUUUCGCUCUCUGAAGGACGUGCAACGUUAUAUUGAAUCAGGGGACACAAGUAAAUGCAAUGUUAGGCCAAAGAAGAGAACUGCCCAGGAUGCUUGUAUUACACAGAAUCAAGAUUAU